UGAGAUCACUGUCUCAGAGGACGCCUUCUACCCAGCCCCUGGCCAUCAGCAGGUGGCCCUCGAAAGGGAAAAGCCUAUGAGCUAUGGCAUGGGCUAUCUGGCGCCCGGAUGGUGGGAUCGCACCCAGCUCGACACGCGCCAUUUCAGAAAACAGAGUGCCCUUUCUGAAAGUGUGACGGCUCCACUGAACUCAGAGUGUCCAGGAAAGCACAGUGGGAAAAAUGCACGUGGAUCUCUUGCUCUGGUAAGAAUGCCACCAGAUAAACAAAACCUUCUGUUAAAUCUAUCCCGUGAUACAGCUCAGAGUGCCUCACUGCACUGGGAAAUCAGAGAUCCAGCUUUAACAGCACUACCAAAUGAGUCAAAACCUCAGGAGUAACUUUAUACCUACAGUUCUGCAAGCAAGUAUUGCAUGUGUUACAGGAAGCAACAAUAGCU
ensembl:lncRNA